rnacentral:rRNA from 1 species
GUGAGUAUAUAUCGGAACGUGCCCAGUAGCGGGGGAUAGCCGGCGAAAGCCGGAUUAUACCGCAUACGACCUAUGGGUGAGAGCGGGGGGAUCGCAAGACCUCGCGCUAUUGGAGCGGCCG